AUACGGAGGAUGCGAGCGUUAUCCGGAUUUAUUGGGUUUAAAGGGUGCGUAGGCGGAUUAAUAAGUCAGUGGUGAAAUACUGCAGCUUAACUGUAGAAUUGCCGUUGAUACUGUUAGUCUUGAGUAUGGUCAAGGUAGGCGGAAUGUGUAAUGUAGCGGUGAAAUGCUUAGAUAUUACACAGAACACCGAUUGCGAAGGCAGCUUACUGGGCCAUUACUGACGCUGAUGCACGAAAGCGUGGGGAUC
rnacentral:rRNA from 1 species